GCUCCAGUGGCGCAAUCGGUUAGCGCGCGGUACUUAUACGGCAGUACAAGCAGAGCAAUGCCGAGGUUGUGAGUUCGAGCCUCACCUGGAGCA
rnacentral:tRNA from 1 species